rnacentral:rRNA from 1 species
AUACGUAGGGUGCAAGCGUUAAUCGGAAUUACUGGGCGUAAAGCGUGCGCAGGCGGUUUUGUAAGAAAGAGGUGAAAUCCCCGGGAUCAACCUGGGAACUGCCAUUGUGACUGCAAGGCUCGAGUACCGCAGAGGGGGAAGGAAUUCCGCGGGUAGCAGUGAAAUGCGUAGAUAUGCGGAGGAACACCGAUGGCGAAGGCAAUCCCCUGGGCCUGUACUGACGCUCAUGCACGAAAGCGUGGGGAGCAAACAGGAUUAGAUACCCUGGUAGUCCACGCCCUAAACGAUGUCAACUGGUUGUUGGGUCUUCAUUGACUCAGUAACGAAGCUAACGCGUGAAGUUGACCGCCUGGGGAGUACGGCCGCAAGGUUGAAACUCAAAUGAAUUGGCGGGG